UGGGGCUCUGGUAGCAGGGCCAGUGUUCCUACGAGGCCUGGCAGAAGAAGGAGGCAAACAGGUUUGCAGUGAGCAGAGGAGAUGGGCUCCCGGCCCCAGCAGGACUGCUGCAAAGGAGAGCUCCAGAGGGUGAGGUGAGCAAAGAGGCCAGGAAGAUCAGAUUCCUACCUCCCGUUACCAAGACCCUAUCUCCACAUUGCUCCAGAUAACUUAGUCUUGGGUGGAAUUACAGGCUCUGGGGUGUGGCCAACCCUUCAGGCUGUAGCCACGCCCUCCCCUGAGCCCUGUCUCUGCUUCUCUGCCUGCCCCCAGUUCAUCUUUGUCUCGUGGCCAUUUGUAUCUGUCUCCCCAGUAGAGUUGCCUGAGCACCAGGGCUUGGCUCGGAGCACAGAAGGCUCUUCUCCAGGACUCCUUGCCUGACUGCUUCAGCCAAUGGUUGGUCUUGGCUCCCCAGAGACUGAGUUCCUCGGAAACACUGACCCAGCUUUCACCUUCUCGAGUCACUGACGUAGGGAAGGGAUCAAUACUUCAGGCUUACUACAUGUAUUACACUGUUACAGAUUUAAUCCCAUUUAAUCCUCACCACAACCCUAAUAUAGGUAUUAUUCUCCUUUUAAAGACAAGGAAACUGAGGCUCUAAGAGAGAACGCCACUUGUCUCUGGUCACACAGCUGGCAUUAGCAGAAUCGGGACUCAGAUCUGCUCUUUCUGGCUCCAAAGUCCAUGCCCUUAGACAUUAUGUGUGCUGCUUCCACAGGGAACUGAUGUCCUCAUCCCUGCCCGGGACUCUGGCAAUUCAGCUUGCUCUCUGAGCCCUGAGCCCUCCUAGCUGGGCUCCUGCCUUGAGGGCCCAAGACCAAUAAAUCCAUGAAGGAAAGAAAGGAAGGACUUGAAAUCCUGGAACCUAUCUGGAUUCUAUCCCCAGACACCUGAAACCCUGGCUGCCCCAGCAGCUGACUCUGCGUGAGAGAGGACCGUGGGUCAGCCAAGGAGGCCAAGCCUGGAGGGAGCUACAGUGGGCCUUUCCCUGGGAGACAUUUCAACCAGGCCAUAAAGAGAAGAUCCAGCCCGGUCCAUUUCUGAGCAGCCGUGGCUCUUCCAAAGUUGUUUCUGGGACAGCUAGGAUUAGCCUGCUGCUGGUGUGCCCUUCUCAGCUUGCCUUCUUCCACCCUCCACUCCGCAUGGUUGCUGUGCUGCCCUCCUAGGCCACAUGGACCAUUUUUCUCCAUGACAGACCCUCAGGUAUUUGAAAGCAGUAACCCUGUCUCCUCUGGGUGGGAACUCGGCCAGGCUAGACAUUCCAGGUCCCGAGAGAGGGUGCUGCUCGGACAUUGGAGGAGGCCUCCCUUCCCUUGGCAAGUUCACUCCACUCUGCCUCUUCUCCAUAUAGAGUCAAGGCACUGGCACCCGGGAAGGGGGCCCCUGGGGCUGAGUUUCCCCCUGUAAUUUCCAGGCUGGUGUAGAGUGGGUGGCAGUCUGCUGGGGUCUGGGUUCAGAGCAACUGCCCUAGCUCCUGUCCCUCACAUGCUUCAGACUACUCCCCUGCCUCCCCCAUGUCUUCUCCACGAAGAGAGAGUUUCCAACAGCGUCCCAGACAGGUCAGGGUGCCCAGCCUCAUCAGAAUAUCAGUGCUAAUUUUAGUCGGAACAAUCUACCUCAGGCUGCUGCCCAGUUUUGCAAAUUGCUUUCCUUUCUCCAGGGAACCAAAGAAGAAAUGGUAUAGCUAGCCAGAGCUUUGAAAACUGGCCUGGACACCCAUCCACUCCCAAAUGAACCCUUUUUUCUCUCCCCUCUGGAGCUCUAGGGCUAAUACUGGAGCAUUUAGAGGAGGAGGGGACUCUGGCCUGGACCUGCCUCUCCAGGUUGGAUGACCUGGAGACUCCCUCCUUACUUGAGGAUGGCACAGCCCACUGAUUAGGGACACUGCCUAGGGCACUACAGAGGAAGGGGCCGAGGGCUGAGGGGGCUGCAAAUUAGUGGCCCAGGAGAUCAAAUAUCUUUCCACCUCCCUCUUUUCUUUCCUUAUCCCCCCAAGUCCCAAAGCCUGUGCCAGGUCCCAACCAGCCCCCUCUCUCUGCCAUCCACCCUGCACGUCAUCCCUGCCUCUGAAUUCCCUUCAUCCUCCUCUCUCCAUCACUACCCCCCCCCCCCAUUCCCUCAAUUUCAUCCCAACCUCCCCUAGGGAUCUGGUCACCAUAGGGGAUAGCCCAGAUUCUCCCUCUCACCCACUCCCCAGGGGACAGAGCGCCCCCCUUCUCAUGCUCUCCAGGCACUAGGCCCGCACGACACUCCCGCCCACUCCUCAUCCCCCAUCCGGAUCUGGUCCACCCCCGCCCCAGGCUAGCCACUGCAGU